CCCUUAACACGAACAAUACACGUUUUAAGCCCCGUUUCCCUUUCCGAACUACAGAGCCUUGCAAAAGUAUCAUCUGUCAUGGGCACCAAAACGUCUGUGAUCGUAUAUGACACAAGCCUUAAGAGAGUCCCAUCUAACCUGAACACCACGGUUUCUAUAUUGCAUGACCCCUGUUGGCGUGUCCACUCGAACCCUAGGCAGCUACUUGGUCCUCCCCUGUGGCUUUCACAAGGAAUUCACCAGCCAAGCCACAGGUAGAGAGACGGACCCGGGCAGGAUGUUUGAAAAUAGGUGAGAUUCUUUCAUGGGCGAUGGAUCUGUUGGAGCCUGCUGGCUUUGGCAAGCUCUUCAGAGUGGGAGAGGCCGUGACCACUGACGGCUGGACACUGAGAGCACGCGUGGGCCAGGACGCGGCCUCUCUGGAUGGCUGUGAGUGGACCGGGUCAUCUAAAAAUGCCAUUUCUGUGAAGAAGCAGCCAGCUGUGCCUUCAGUGCCUUCUCUUGAAUCCCUGCACAAACCUGCUCUCGGCUCCAGCUGCCCGGUGGCUUUGAAAGUGAAUUAAGACUUAAACGAUAAAACACAAGCAUUGCUAGCCCACUGAACGGAGGGUGGAAGUGUUAGUGACAUUCUGCUGCUGCUGCUGCUGGAGCUGUGAAGUUACCUUUUGAACUUGUGUUUACUUGGCCUUUCCUUUUUUGGGAGGUGAGUUUAUUUUGGAAUUCCUGGAAUUCAAAUCCUUGAUGGGAAACGUCUGAAGACUGUUCUGUCAGAUAGAACUAAGCUUAGGAAGUCAAUCAAGACUGAUCGGUAAGGCCGUAGGGGGAGUGGAAGAGGGAGUUUUCAUCCCAGGGUCCUGGCUCCCUGUGAGCAACCAGAUGGGACCGCCGGCAACAGCCUCACAGAGAAUUUCCCAUCCAGUCCCGAAGGUGCAAGGAACGGACGGUGUGCAGCUCUGAAUGAAAAUAGAAAGAACAACUCAGCAACACAUCUAUGUGCCAGUCUCUGGCGGCCGAGUGGCACUCAGGCAAGGCUGAACAAGAAAUCCAGCUCUGCAAACCAGCCUGUCUUCCAGAAAGGAGACCUCCCUACUGUAACAGGGAGCAACUUUAUAGGGCCAGGUGGGUUUCUAUUGGCUCUUUAUGUCACAUGGUAGGCUGGAAGCUGCGGCACCACCGGCUGGCCAUCUGCAGUGGUGACGCUCACUCGCUCCUUCGCUCGUUCGUUCAUUCACUCGUGUGACCCAAAGGGAGAGCAGCCAUUCUUCCUGUUGACAAGCUGUCACAAAGGGGGAAAGCUGCUCGGGCCUCACUCCCGUUUUUUUGUUUGUUUUGCUUUUACCCCACCUUCCCGGCGAAGGGAGUCACUUCUAGACGUCACCCCUGGCUUGAGGCCAGCUCUGGGGGCCUCACAGUGGAGGAGGCCCUUGCUUUUAACCGCAGGGUGCAACUGGGACGCACCUCCGAAACAUUUAGGAAAAGGCUUGCAAAAGGGGGUGGCUUGGCUUGAGACCCUGGUGGUCUCUCACUGGAAAUACAUUAAAAGUUACCUUUCCCUCGGGUGGGGUGGAACAAACACAUGAUGCUGACCGGCAGAAACAGCAUUGCCGAAUUUAUUUUGACCACCACCCAGAUUCCACCUAGUUUUAGGCAAAAUCUAAAAUGUAAGCAUUAUGCAUCUACUUGUACACUGCUUAAACAAGAAAACAAUAGGAUGCAUGUUAAGAAACGAGUUGGCUUCAUUUAGCCUUUAUAUUAUUAGAAUAUAUUAAAUCUGAGCAAUAAUUCUGUCAGACAAGCUGGGAGGAAAUUAAGAGCAAAAUGCCUGUUUCGGCCAUGGUACGAUACAAGAUAGGAGUUCUAAUUAUAUUGUUGCCUAAUCAGAUAAUUUUUUGAGAACCUAAGAACUCUCAAGGUUAAGAAAUAACCUUUUCCCUCGUGAUUGUUAUGUAUUACCAUUGAUUAUAAGUUGGUGGUCUUUUUUUGCUUUAAUGUUUUUUUUUUAAUAAUCGGGGGGCUGAAUAUAUUUACUGGUGAGUGAGGUUUCAUUUCCCAGAUGAACCAUAAAUGAAAAAAAAAGGUCACACAAUAACAAAAUAAAUGCAUUACUAAGUAC